UUUCUUUGUGAUAAGAUCAAUAAAAUUGACAACCUAUAGCUAGAUUGACUGCAUUGGAAUGAAUAGUUGUGCCCCACACUCCCAAAAUCAUAUGCUAGAAUUCUACUGGAUUCCAAUUUGUUCAUUCAAAAAUAACAUAAAUUGCUGGCAAAAGUCAGUAGAAGAUAUUAUAUUUAUAUUUACAUGGAUUAAGCUGCCAGGAGUGCUAUCAGAAAAUUUAAAUUAACAUGGAAUGGGAUGAAAUUUCCCCAAGUCAAAGAUACCAACAGAGAGGCAAAGAGAGGUGGUCAGUGGUUAAAGACAGAUGAGCAAUUAAGGUACUUUCUUCUUAAUAAUGGAAUGCAUUAACAUUUAAAAUUCACUAAUUCUAUUGAUCUUCUAAGGGAAAAAAUUGUUUAAGUUGUUCCUAAAUCUAUCUCUGACUUGUAGGCCCGUGAGAAGCAAAACCACAGCAGGAAGGUAACCUGACUGGGUGACUUCAGUCCUUUAAAUACGUAAACUCUAAUUUAUCCAAGAAGAAUUUGUCCUAAGCAUUUAUAAUUAUAUGCAUUCUUUUCACCAAAACAGUCCAUUGUAACAGAAAAAAUAAAAUUACAUAUCCAAGGCAUGCCAAAAAAAUACACAUUUCUAAGCUAAGUGUCUGCCUUAAUAAAAUAUUAUGGUAAUAUUCCCAUACCAACAAUCAUAGCCCUACAAUUAUUAUGUUAUGUUGUUCAAUAUUUUAAUGGCUGCACAAUAUUUUCCUUUUUCUAUUAAAUAUAAUAAGGUUUGGCACUUACUAUGAACUUCCUUCCUGAAGUUCAUGCUGUCUAAAUGUAAAGCAAUAUUGAUAUAAUCAUUACUUUA
rnacentral:lncRNA from 10 species